AACGCAUAUUGCGCCCUUUGGUAUUCCGAAGGGCAUACCUGUUCGAGCGUCAUUACACCCCUCAAAGAUAAGUCUUUGGUGUUGGGCAGUGCCUAAAAGCAUGCCUCAAAACUAGCGAUGGUGAUAUUCAACCGCAGGCGCACAAAGGUCGUCUAGCUGGCGGAAUGUUGUCAAUCAGUUGAUAAAUUUCUAAAUGUUGACCUCGGAUCAGGUAGGAAUACCCGCUGAACUUAA
rnacentral:misc_RNA from 1 species